rnacentral:rRNA from 1 species
UUUAAUGAGAGUUUGAUCCUGGCUCAGGACGAACGCUGGCGGCGUGCCUAAUACAUGCAAGUAGAACGCUGAAGGAGGAGCUUGCUCUUCUGGAUGAGUUGCGAACGGGUGAGUAACGCGUAGGUAACCUGCCUGGUAGCGGGGGAUAACUAUUGGAAACGAUAGCUAAUACCGCAUAACAGUAGAUGUUGCAUGACAUUUACUUAAAAGGUGCAAUUGCAUCACUACCAGAUGGACCUGCGUUGUAUUAGCUAGUUGGUGGGGUAACGGCUCACCAAGGCGACGAUACAUAGCCGACCUGAGAGGGUGAUCGGCCACACU